CUUCCGGCGGCCGCGGAGGAGGAGGAGGAGGAGGAGGCGGCCAUGGUGGAGGAGGGGGGAAGCGGCGGCGGCGCCAUGAGUUUCCUCAAGCGGUUCCCGCCGCCGGCCGAGGGCGUUCGGCACCAGCAGCCUGACACGGAGGCGGUGCUGGCGGGGCGCAGCCUGGGCGCCGGCACCCUCUACAUCGCCGAGAGCCGCUUGUCUUGGCUGGAAAACUCCGGAGUUGGCUUCUCCCUGGAUUAUCCCACUGUAAGUUUACACGCCGUCUCCAGGGACCUGAACGCCUACCCAUGGGAGCACUUGUAUGUCAUGGUGAAUGCCAAAUUUGAAGAAGAGGAGACAAAAGAGGCUCCCAUGACUGAAGGGGAGGAGGAGGAAGACAGCGAUGAUGAUGAACCAAUUGUGGAAUUCAGAUUUGUACCUAGCGACAAAUCAGCCUUGGAAGCCAUGUUUACAGCCAUGUGUGAAUGCCAAGCUCUGCACCCAGACCCUGACGACGAAGACUCGGACAACGAUUACGAAGGGGAGGAGUACGAUGUUGAGGCCCACGAGCUGGAGCAAGGUGACAUCCCGACCUUUUACACUUACGAAGAAGGAUUGUCGCAUUUAACUGCAGAAGGUCAGGCCACUCUGGAGAGGCUAGAGGGCAUGUUAGCCCAGUCUGUCAGCAGCCAGUACAACAUGGCUGGAGUGAGAACAGAAAACUCAAUAAGGGAAUUUGAAGAUGGGAUGGAGGUGGACAUAGCACCAGUGGUUGCAGGGCAGUUUGAAGACGCAGAAGUCGAUCACUGAGGAGGACAUAUGCUCCUCGUGCAAGAUUUCCCAGGCCUUUCAAGGGGGCAGAACAUUUCAUAGUGCUGCAAGUCCAUCUCUUCCUUCGCUAUUCUUCUUGUGGCACUUCCAGAAUAAGCUGUAAAACUGAAGGCAUUGCAGUGACUAUCGGGAGUUAACCUUUCUUUUAAUGACCUAAGCUUAGACAUCUAGGUCUAUAAAAUGCUUUUAUAGAUGUUUAAAACAGGGUUUGACAUUUGUGACCACUAUGGAGUUAUUUAAAAAAAACAAAACAAACAUCAAACAAUAAAACCUCUUGCAUCUAACACUUGAAUGGGGCUAAUCAGGGGUCAUUUCAAAGAAGCCUUUGUAGGAAUUCUAGGACUUAGGAAAUAAAACUAAGUAGAACAGAAUUUUAGAUUGUCCUAGAAUUUUUCAUAUUUUUGUACCUGUUCAUUCAGUGGGUAGAGUGGAAACGGAAAUGUUACAAAGUUCAACUGAAAGGAAAUAGGAUUGGCCAAGGAUUAAAAAGCAAAGCGAAAUUUAAUGCCCCUCAAGUAACUGGCUUUUAUCAGUUCAGUGUUCUCUCUUUCAUUUCUCUGAGAGCAGGGUUUGGGUGGUAGAAGAGAUGGAAUAUGGUUUGUAAAGUCCUGAAAGAGGACUGGUUUGUGUCUUUGUAUUAAAUGUUAACAACAUUAUUAAAUAAACUUAAGAUUUUUGUAUCUCACAUCCAA